AGAACCAAUAAACUGUUUAACAUUAUUAAUACGAGUCUAAAACUUAUUCAAAAGAUCAAAUUAACACAAUGAAGUGAGGAAUACUGGUAAUGUGCAGCUAUUUUUAUAAUUUCAAGGUAAAAUGCUGAUUGUUCUGUGAUUUUCCAGCUUUGCAGAUGUGGAAAUUCAAUGCAUUCAUUACUUAUACACAGAUUUCUUUGAUGGUUUUUAGUUGUUGCUCAAAUAUAUCAAGGCAUUGAGCACUGCUGGAAAUUAUUACAGGCAUUUUUUGUAACAUUUUCUAACAUCAUGCGGACAAAUUAAUAAUUAAUGGAGAAAAUGGUUUUAAAUUACAGAUGCUAUCAACAACAUUUCUUGUUAAUUUUAUUUAGUUGUCGGCCUAGGAUGAUGAGGUCCAGUUACCAGGAUCACUACUCUGCAGCUUACUGGUUCCAUCCUGCAGCUCCUUCAUGCUGUCCUCCUCGCUACAGACCAAAUCAAGAUAAAGGAAGCAGGAUGCUACUGUGGAUCUGCUGCAGUAUCUGGGGACGUCAGAAGAACGGUUCUUGGAACAGAUCUGAAGACACCGAGACCUGACCACUGCCCUGCUCCAGAACAUCCAGAGGACGGAUGAAAAUUCAAACACCUUUGCUGGACUGAUGUGACACAUGGUGUCGGUGCUGGAGCGACUGUCACAGAAAUAAACUGCAUUGUCCACUAUUCCUGCCUUUUUUAGAAAAAGUAAUCAUAUUUUUUAUAAAUUCUUUUCCUUCUUAGCUAUUUAAGUACACUGGUAUUUUACUCUUGCACUUUGGGUGAAUACAAAUAUAUUUGUGAUGAAA